GCCCCAGUAGCUCAGUGGUAGAGCUUCUGUAUAUGGAGUGAGCAAGGCCGAGGGAGCUUUUUCAGAAUUGUCUCAGGUUCGAGAAUCCUGCCCGGUGGCU